AUAAUUUUGCAGACUUUAAUAAAAGCAUAUUAUUCUACCUUUGGUAUUCGAGUACUAGAUUUUUCUGCCUUGUUUUGCACAUAAGUGCUCAUCUCUGUGUGUUUGCAUGAGUGUAUGUGU